GCAAACUUGGUCAUUUAGAGGAAGUAAAAGUCGUAACAAGGUAACCGUAGGUGAACCUGCGGUUGGAUCAUUAUUGAAUUAAUUGAUGGCAAUAUCCCUUCUUGUUGAAGGGCUCUUUUGCGCAUUAAUUUUACCCCCUAUGUGAACUGUUUUGUGUAUUUUGGCAGCCCUCCAAAACUUGGCUUUAAUUGGCAUAUUUCAUGUCUUGUUUGGUCAUUGCAAAAAUGAUGCAGUACUCGCUUGGAACUUUGUCAAGCCAAUGGGCUUGCCAGCAUUAAAAAAAAAAAGAAAACCAUGUGGAUCUUGUAAUUACUACUAUGUCUCCAACAGAAUCCUUUAGAGGAAUUUGUUUUUAAAAUUGAAAACAACUUUUGACAAUGGAUCUCUUGGCUCUCGCAUCGAUGAAGAACGCAGC
rnacentral:misc_RNA from 1 species